CCUACGGGAGGCAGCAGUGAGGAAUAUUGGUCAAUGGACGAGAGUCUGAACCAGCCAAGUAGCGUGAAGGAUGACUGCCCUAUGGGUUGUAAACCUCUUUUAUGAAGGAAUAAAACGAGGCACGUGUGCCUGUUUGCAUGUACCUUAUGAAUAAGGAUCGGCUAACUCCGUGCCAGCAGCCGCGGUAAUACGGAGGGUCCGAGCGUUAUCCGGAUUUAUUGGGUUUAAAGGGAGCGUAGGUGGGUUUUUAAGUUUGUCUUGAAAGUUUGUGGCUCAACCGUAAAAGUGCAUUUGAAACUGGUGGUCUUGAGUGCGCUUGAGGUAGGCGGAAUUCGUGGUGUAGCGGU
rnacentral:rRNA from 1 species